rnacentral:rRNA from 1 species
GGGUUAAGUCCCGCAACGAGCGCAACCCUUAUCUUUUGUUGCAGAAUUUAUUCUAACUAAAGAGACUGCCGGUGAUAAAUCGGAGGAAGGUGAGGAUGACGUCAAGUCAGCAUGCCCCUUACGCUCUGGGCUACACACGUGCUACAAUGGUUAGGACAAAGAGAUGCGACCUCGCGAGAGCAAGCCAACCUCAAAAACCUAAUCUUAGUUCGGAUUGCAGGCUGCAACUCGCCUGCAUGAAGGUGGAAUCGCUAGUAAUCGCCGGUCAGCAAUACGGUGGUGAAUACGUUCCCGGGUCUU